UCUCGCGGUAAACCUAACUAGAGGUUACUCUUUUUAGUGAUGAUGAAGAGGGAAAUAAUUGACUCUUUUUGAGCUAAUUGGUUUUAAUUUCAUAUUUUGAUGUUUCGAACAAUUUAAAUUACAUUUAAAGUGUGUUGUGAUAUUUUUUUAUGUUUAAUUAUUUUUUUUAACAAUAUAACUAUAUUAUUUGAUAUAUAUAAUUAUAUUUUUUUAAAAAAUUAUAGGGACGUACCCGUACCUUAGUUUUUAUAAAAAUGACGUACCCCGUACCGGUACCGGUAUCGGAUACCGGUACCGUACCCGCACCCGG
rnacentral:lncRNA from 1 species